UACGUAGGGUGCAAGCGUUGUCCGGAAUUAUUGGGCGUAAAGGGCUCGUAGGCGGUCCAUCGCGUCGGGAGUGAAAAGCUGGGGCUUAACCCCAGUCCUGCUUUCGAUACGGGUGGACUAGAGGUAGGCAGGGGAGAACGGAAUUCCGUGGUGUAGCGGUGAAAUGCGCAGAUAUCAGGAGGAACACCGGUGGCGAAGGCGGUUCUCUGGGCCGAUACUGACGCUGAGGAGCGAAAGCGUGGGGAGCGAACAGG
rnacentral:rRNA from 1 species